rnacentral:rRNA from 1 species
AUUGAACGCUGGCGGCAUGCCUUACACAUGCAAGUCGAACGGCAGCACGGGAGCAAUCCUGGUGGCGAGUGGCGAACGGGUGAGUAAUAUAUCGGAACGUGCCCAGUCGUGGGGGGAUAACGUAGCGAAAGCUACGCUAAUACCGCAUACGAUCUAUGGAUGAAAGCGGGGGAUCGCAAGACCUCGCGCGAUUGGAGCGGCCGAUAUCAGAUUAGGUAGUUGGUGGGGUAAAAGCCUACCAAGCCUUCGAUCUGUAGCUGGUCUGAGAGGACGACCAGCCACACUGGAACUGAGACACGGUCCAGACUCCUACGGGAGGCAGCAGUGGGGAAUUUUGGACAAUGGGCGCAAGCCUGAUCCAGCAAUGCCGCGUGCAGGAUGAAGGCCUUCGGUU